UAGAGUACCCAAGGACAGUGACCCAGAGGUUAUGUGUCCCCAUUGUUCCCUAUCAUUAUCUAGUGGGAAGCAGUGAAAACAGGCUACUGAGAGCCAGGACACCUGCUCCAAGUCCUCAGUAAGGGAAGGAGGCUCCCGAGGUCCACGUCACAGGCAAAAAGGAAUGACAUAUGCAUAACCUGCGGGCGCUAAAAACAUGGAUGUUGAGUGACGAAGACGCCAGACAAAGGUCACACAUGGGACUCUGUUUACAGAAGAUGUCUGGAAUAGGCCCUUUCUUGAGCUCUACACAGCACUGCCUUAUGCUGGAUCCCACUCCUUCUCUGUGUCCAAGGCUGAAUCCUGGAUUGUUUUAAGUGCUCUAUCAAGAUAUAAGUGGAAAAAAAGGAAGCUGGUAAUUCACAGUUUAGGAGGGGAGAACAGGUGCAGCCCAGUCCCAAGACCCUAGUGUGGCUUUCUUUCCAGGGGUCCUCACUGCCUCUGUUUCUUCAUGUAUAACUUGUUACUCCAACAACCCCUAAUAGGUCCCCCAAGAUGUCACUCAGAGAUUUAACUAAAUCUCUUCUCCAAGUUCAGAACCAGCUCUGGCACUCUGGAGGGAACUCCAAGAGUAAUAAAUCAGCCUGUCCUAUCUGACUGGACACUUAGGCCCCAAGAGCUAAACCAAGAGGCCAGCAAUGCAAGUGUGACUUUGGAUGAUCAGGAAAGCCUUAAUAGGGCGUCUGCACCCUAAAUAGGUUCUGAGCUCUAAACUCACUGCCUGGGCAGCCAGGGAAACAUCCAACCCCUGCCCAAGGGGCCUGUCUUCAUUUGUUUU